GACGUAGGAGGCGAGCGUUAUCCGGAUUCACUGGGCGUAAAGCGCAUGUAGGCGGAUGUCUAAGUCGUGUGUUAAAGCCCCUGGCUCAACUGGGGGAGGUCAUGCGAGACUGGAUGACUUGAGGGCAACAGAGGCACGUGGAACUCCCGGUGUAGCGGUGGAAUGCGUAGAGAUCGGGAAGAACACCCGUGGCGAAGGCGGCGUGCUGGGUUGCAACUGACGCUGAGAUGCGAAAGCUAGGGGAGCGAACAGG
rnacentral:rRNA from 1 species